CCUACGGGUGACAGCAGUGGGGAAUAUUGCACAAUGGGGGAAACCCUGAUGCAGCGACGCCGCGUGAGUGAAGAAGUAAUUAGUUAUGUAAAGCUCUAUCAGCAGGGAAGAAAAUGACGGUACCUGAGUAAGAAGCCACGGCUAAAUACGUGCCAGCAGCCGCGGGAAUACGUAGGGGGCAAGCGUUAUCCGGAUUUACUGGGUGUAAAGGGAGCGGAGACGGCAGUGCAAGUCUGGAGUGAAAGGCGGGGGCUCAACCCCCGGACUGCUCUGGAAACUGUACGGCUGGAGUGCAGGAGAGGUAAGUGGAAUUCCUAGUGUAGCGGUGAAAUGCGUAGAUAUUAGGAGGAACACCAGUUGCGAAGGCAGCUUACUGGACUGUAACUGACGUUGAGGCUCGAAAGCGUGGGUAGCAAACAGGAUUAGAUACCCUGGUAGUC
rnacentral:rRNA from 1 species